GUAGGGAAUAUUGGGCAAUGGACGCAAGUCUGACCCAGCCAUGCCGCGUGCAGGAUGAAGGCGUUAUGCGUUGUAAACUGCUUUUAUACAGGAAGAAACGACUCUUGCGAGAGGCAUUGACGGUACUGUAUGAAUAAGCACCGGCUAACUCCGUGCCAGCAGCCGCGGUAAUACGGAGGGUGCAAGCGUUGUCCGGAUUUAUUGGGUUUAAAGGGUGCGCAGGUGGUUUAUUAAGUCAGUGGUGAAAGACGGUCGCUCAACGAUUGCAGUGCCAUUGAAACUGGGUAGACUUGAGUAAAGUAGAGGUGGGCGGAAUUGAUAGUGUAGCGGUGAAAUGCAUAGAUAUUAUCAAGAACUCCAAUUGCGUAGGCAGCUCACUUGGCUUUUACUGACACUCAUGCACGAAAGUGUGGGUAUCAAACAGGAUUAGAU
rnacentral:rRNA from 1 species